UACGUAGGGGGCAAGCGUUGUCCGGAUUUAUUGGGCGUAAGGAGCGUGUAGGCGGCUAGGUAGGUCCGUUGUGAAAACUCGAGGCUCAACCUCGAGACGUCGAUGGAAACCAUCUGGCUAGAGUCCGGAAGAGGAGAGUGGAAUUCCUGGUGUAGCGGUGAAAUGCGCAGAUAUCAGGAAGAACACCCGUGGCGAAGGCGGCUCUCUGGUACGUGACUGACGCUGAGACGCGAAAGCGUGGGGAGCGAACAGG
rnacentral:rRNA from 1 species